UGUCUGCGGGACUGGAGCCCUGCGCGGCCCAAAGCUCUGGGAAAUGGAGCAGCUCAAUAGAAAACUUUUUGAUAUUACUUUUUAUAGGUAUUUACACUCUGGUGAGGGUAGCUGGGUACAGAAGCUUCCCUAAUCAGCCCCCGACCUUGGGUUUGGAUACUCGGCUUAU
rnacentral:lncRNA from 1 species